AUUGAACGCUGGCGGCAUGCUUUACACAUGCAAGUCGAACGGUAACAGGCCGCAAGGUGCUGACGAGUGGCGAACGGGUGAGUAAUGCAUCGGAACGUGCCCAGUCGUGGGGGAUAACGCAGCGAAAGCUGUGCUAAUACCGCAUACGAUCUGUGGAUGAAAGCGGGGGACCUUCGGGCCUCGCGCGAUUGGAGCGGCCGAUGUCAGAUUAGGAAGUUGGUGGGGUAAAGGCUCACCAAGCCAACGAUCUGUAGCUGGUCUGAGAGGACGACCAGCCACACUGGGACUGAGACACGGCCCAGACUCCUACGGGAGGCAGCAGUGGGGAAGUUUGGACAAUGGGCGCAAGCCUGAUCCAGCAAUGCCGCGUGCAGGAAGAAGGCCUUCGGGUUGUAAACUGCUUUUGUACGGAACGAAAAGGUUUGGGUUAAUACCCUGGGCCGAUGACGGUACCGUAAGAAUAAGCACCGGCUAACUACGUGCCAGCCGCCGCCGUAAAAC
rnacentral:rRNA from 1 species